UCAUGGUAAUAAAGUUGAAGCAUGGGAAAGAAAUGUACAGGACAUCAGUCAUCUCCUUUCAAUCAGUGACAUCCAUCCAUCCUGACAGUCCUGGGACAAAACAUCUAUUCUUCAUCAGUACCGCUCAAAAUAAGAACAAGAACCUUUGCGUCAUUGCCUGCCACAGUGGAAAUCGAAACACACACUCCUGGCAGACUCUAAAGGCUUUCAGUAAAAUGUCACUUCUUUUUGUCUCAGGGGUGUCGGGACAGUACUCUUCUCUCCAGCCCCAUCUUUAGACAAUCUGUCACAUUCUGGCGAAAAGUAUCUACACAUUUUACAUGUAAUAUAAAACCAAUGAAAAGCAAAAGAACAAAAAUACAAAUGUAACACCAGACUUGCUCACCACCAAGAUCUUAUAACUUUCUCAAGUCUUUUCAUACCUGGAGUUACAAGCUGGACUAAGGCUUUUUCAUAUCAUACAAUCCUCGUUUUAUCCCGUCUCCCUCCUCCUCUUUUCACAUUCAGUAAACGUGUUCUCAGUCUCACCUCGGUAAGACGGUAACAAGUGUGCUGAAAAAUAGGAAUACAUUUUUCUGUUAUAAUUCAUCGGCAGUCUCUAUCCUCCAUCCUUUUUUUUUCCUCUAUAAAGCAAAGCUGAAGGCAAAACAAACACUUAACACGACAACACAGACGGACACAUUGAUGGACAAAAAGCAGCCUCGCUCCCAUCAUCAAAUUCACUGCAGACUCUCUCCCAUUUACUCCCUCUGAUCCUCUCCCUGGUCCAUGUUUAAGCAUUCUCCUGUCUCAUCUAUGUAUUAUAGGCCUGAAUACACUUUGUGUUCGUCUCCAUGUUUGUGUACAUAUUUAUUGAUAAUAAAGAACACCAUAAGCAGCAGAUGUAGCUCUCAAACAUUAGCAGAUUGAUACUUUUUUUAAUUUUAUCACAGGUGUAAACCACAGAAUAAUUGAAAUUUAGUCCAUUUUGUGCACUCUGAUGUUUUUUUUAAAUAUAUAUAUAUUUUUUUUGCAAGUUUGGCCUCCAAGUGGAUGGCAGGUGAAUAUGAGUGAAGAAGGGGUGGGGCCUGUGUGUUGUUUCACCCACCUCCCUCUCUGGCCACACCCUGGCAGCCUAGAGUUUGUUUGUCUCACUGAUUUUCCCAUCAUCUCAGCAAGCUUUAACACUGGGCAUGCUCACAGCGCAUACUGACAGACACACGGACGCCUUCGAUCCCCCUUUAAAGGGCCUGUAAUGCCACCUCUGCCUCCUGCUCCUCUUCUCCUCCUUCACUCAUUCAUGUUUUCAUUCAUCCAUUUGAAAAGUAAGGGGUAUUUGAUACCCUGCAGCUGCUGAACCACAAGAGACACAACAAAGAAGAGAAAGGUUAGUUUUUGGGGUUAAAUAAAGGAACAAUUACCAACAAGCAAAUUUAGUUUUUGAGUUUGCUGUUCUGCGAUUACUGUAAAUUACUGUUUUUGAUUUUCCAGAAUGGUUUCAACAAAAUACAGAUGUUUGUGAACACUGAGUUUUAUGACUCCACAUGAAUGGCUUAUUCAGUGAGAAACAUGCUUUUGUGCUUUGAUUUACAUUCUCUAUAGAGGGCGUGCACUGAGGCCACUUUUGCAAUAUCAGUCAGACAAAUGCAGUUAGUCUGGAACCUCUUUUCAAUUUCCAAGGGGUGUUCAGAGCAAAUAAACAUGUCACAUAGCGCUGAGUAACAGAAAAAUGUAAACAGUGCACUUGCUAGUUCUUCUUUUAGAGUAAAUAUACCAUGUCCAGUUCUUUUAAUACUGACUGCUUUGAAAGACUGUCAUAUAUCAGCAUCUGCCAUCUUGUUUUCUUACAAAAGUUCCUCAGUGCUCCUCUGUGCAACCAGACGCAUUCUGCCAGAGCAAAUGAAACAUGAGGUCCUCGAAUCAUUUGGUGCACAGGCUUCAUU
ensembl:lncRNA